rnacentral:lncRNA from 9 species
AUGGAGGCCGCGAAAUGUAUUGAGAAGAUGCAGCAUCAAGUGCAAAAGCUUGAAAAGGAAAAUGCCGAGUUAAAAGAUACAAACAAAAUGCAAGCGGGCACAAUUGAAGAGCUUCAGAGAAACCCGCCGGGUCCAAGUUCGUUGCAAGAAGCACAAGAUCGAUAUAUGGAGGCCGCGAAAUGUAUUGAGAAGAUGCAGCAUCAAGUGCAAAAGCUUGAAAAGGAAAAUGCCGAGUUAAAAGAUACAAACAAAAUGCAAGCGGGCACAAUUGAAGAGCUUCAGAGAAACCCGCCGGGUCCAAGUUCGUUGCAAGAAGCACAAGAUCGAUAUAUGGAGGCCGCGAAAUGUAUUGAGAAGAUGCAGCAUCAAGUGCAAAAGCUUGAAAAGGAAAAUGCCGAGUUAAAAGAUACAAACAAAAUGCAAGCGGGCACAAUUGAAGAGCUUCAGAGAAACCCGCCGGGUCCAAGUUCGUUGCAAGAAGCACAAGAUCGAUAUAUGGAGGCCGCGAAAUGUAUUGAGAAGAUGCAGCAUCAAGUGCAAAAGCUUGAAAAGGAAAAUGCCGAGUUAAAAGAUACAAACAAAAUGCAAGCGGGCACAAUUGAAGAGCUUCAGAGAAACCCGCCGGGUCCAAGUUCGUUGCAAGAAGCACAAGAUCGAUAUAUGGAGGCCGCGAAAUGUAUUGAGAAGAGCAGCAUCAAGUGCAAAAAGUAAAGAUUAAAGCAGCGGAAAG